CCAUCUUCCCCCAUCGCACCCCUCCUCCGGAUCUCCUCGCCGCCGCCGCCACCUCCCGAUCCAAUCUCUCCCCGCCGCCUCCCGAUCCUUCCGCCGCCGCUCCGUCCUCCCCUUCCUUCCGCCCUCCAUCUCUCCCCUCGCCUCCGCCACCCGACGGCCAUGGCGCGCCUCUUCCUCAUCCCAGAUCAGAUCCAGCGCCCCCAACCGCAUCCAUCCGUCAGAGGCGCUGGAGGCGCACUGUGCGGUUCUACUGGGCGGCGACCCGACGGCGUCCGGCGCAUCACGCGCCGAACCAUCUGUGCGGUUCUACUGGGCGGCGACCCGACGGCGUCCGGCGCGCUGCUCACCCGUCGGCCUCCAACGCCGACCAGGCGGCCGCUGAGUCCACCACGCCCACCCAGCCGCAGCCGGAAGAGCAGGAGGACGGGAUGAGCUCCGGGACGGGGAAUGUGGUGUGCGUCACCGGCGCGUCGGUCUACAUCGUGUCCUGGCUCGUCAAGUUCCUCCUCCAGUGUGGCUACACCAUCCGCGCCACCGUCAGCCGACCCCAAGAAAACAUUGCACCUGCAGGCCCUGGAUGGAGCCAAGGACAUUGCUAAUCUUCUCUGCUCCUCCUAAUCUUCUCUGAACCAGAAAACUGGUGCUGCUACUGACGCCCAUACUGCUGCCCCUCUUUCUCUCCCAGUUGAUUCGUCAUCUCGGGUCAUAAUUUUUCUGCAUUCCCUGUUGCUGUAGCUUGUUGGAUGCAUAGUUUGAUCUCCCAAUGGGAAUUAUUAGUAAAUGGUGAUGUCUGUGGUCACGAGAUCCUUGGUUGCAUCUGGUUUCUUAGUGACGUUUCCGCAGUUUGCAAAAUGCUGUGAUGAAUCAUGAAAUCUACGACGUAUGUCAGACAUCAGAGAUGCCAUUUGGCAUUGAUGAGAAGAUAUUUCAUAUUCUAAGCAAUAAUGUUGCAUUUCAUACCGAUAGUUGCCAAACUAU
rnacentral:rRNA from 1 species